rnacentral:rRNA from 1 species
GGGAUAACAGCUGGAAACGGCUGCUAAUACCGCAUAAGCGCACAGAGCUGCAUGGCUCGGUGUGAAAAACUCCGGUGGUAUGGGAUGGGCCCGCGUCUGAUUAGGCAGUUGGCGGGGUAACGGCCCACCAAACCGACGAUCAGUAGCCGGCCUGAGAGGGCGACCGGCCACAUUGGGACUGAGACACGGCCCAAACUCCUACGGGAGGCAGCAGUGGGGAAUAUUGCACAAUGGGGGAAACCCUGAUGCAGCGACGCCGCGUGAGCGAAGAAGUAUUUCGGUAUGUAAAGCUCUAUCAGCAGGGAAGAUAAUGACGGUACCUGACUAAGAAGCCCCGGCUAACUACGUGCCAGCAGCCGCGGUAAUACGUAGGGGGCAAGCGUUAUCCGGAUUUACUGGGUGUAAAGGGAGCGUAGACGGCAAGGCAAGUCUGAUGUGAAAACCCAGGGCUUAACCCUGGGACUGCAUUGGAAACUGUCUGGCUCGAGUGCCGGAGAGGUAAGCGGAAUUCCUAGUGUAGCGGUGAAAUGCGUAGAUAUUAGGAAGAACACCAGUGGCGAAGGCGGCUUACUGGACGGUAACUGACGUUGAGGCUCGAAAGCGUGGGGAGCAAACAGGAUUAGAUACCCUGGUAGUCCACGCUGUAAACGAUGAAUGCUAGGUGUUGGGGAGCAAAGCUCUUCGGUGCCGCCG